rnacentral:other from 1 species
UGUCUACUGUAGUAUUUGAUCACCGGGACUCGAUCCUUGAUCCUUAACUCACGACCCUGGGAGCUAAUUUUAUUAAAGGCGUGUGCAGGUCCGAUUAUCGGAAAGCCUAAACCUUUAGUUCAGGCUCCCCUCCUUGAACUCUAUGGUUCAGGGACGUUGGCCCGACCGGUACAUACGGUAGACAC